UGUGUGUUAGUGGAAGCGUCUGGAAAGGCGCGCGAUACAGGGUGACAGCCCCGUACACAAAAAUGCACAUGCUGUGAGCUCGAUGAGUAGGGCGGGACACGUGGUAUCCUGUCUGAAUAUGGGGGGACCAUCCUCCAAGGCUAAAUACUCCUGACUGACCGAUAGUGAACCAGUACCGUGAGGGAAAGGCGAAAAGAACCCCGGCGAGGGGAGUGAAAAAGAACCUGAAACCGUGUACGUACAAGCAGUGGGAGCACGCUUAGGCGUGUGACUGCGUACCUUUUGUAUAAUGGGUCAGCGACUUAUAUUCUGUAGCAAGGUUAACCGAAUAGGGGAGCCGAAGGGAAACCGAGUCUUAACUGGGCGUUAAGUUGCAGGGUAUAGACCCGAAACCCGGUGAUCUAGCCAUGGGCAGGUUGAAGGUUGGGUAACACUAACUGGAGGACCGAACCGACUAAUGUUGAAAAAUUAGCGGAUGACUUGUGGCUGGGGGUGAAAGGCCAAUCAAACCGGGAGAUAGCUGGUUCUCCCCGAAAGCUAUUUAGGUAGCGCCUCGUGAAUUCAUCUCCGGGGGUAGAGCACUGUUUCGGCAAGGGGGUCAUCCCGACUUACCAACCCGAUGCAAACUGCGAAUACCGGAGAAUGUUAUCACGGGAGACACACGGCGGGUGCUAACGUCCGUCGUGAAGAGGGAAACAACCCAGACCGCCAGCUAAGGUCCCAAAGUCAUGGUUAAGUGGGAAACGAUGUGGGAAGGCCCAGACAGCCAGGAUGUUGGCUUAGAAGCAGCCAUCAUUUAAAGAAAGCGUAAUAGCUCACUGGUCGAGUCGGCCUGCGCGGAAGAUGUAACGGGGCUAAACCAUGCACCGAAGCUGCGGCAGCGACGCUUAUGCGUUGUUGGGUAGGGGAGCGU
rnacentral:rRNA from 1 species